CACAUGCAAGUCGAGCGGAUGACAGGAGCUUGCUCCUGAAUUCAGCGGCGGACGGGUGAGUAAUGCCUAGGAAUCUGCCUGGUAGUGGGGGACAACGUUUCGAAAGGAACGCUAAUACCGCAUACGUCCUACGGGAGAAAGCAGGGGACCUUCGGGCCUUGCGCUAUCAGAUGAGCCUAGGUCGGAUUAGCUAGUUGGUGAGGUAAUGGCUCACCAAGGCGACGAUCCGUAACUGGUCUGAGAGGAUGAUCAGUCACACUGGAACUGAGACACGGUCCAGACUCCUACGGGAGGCAGCAGUGGGGAAUAUUGGACAAUGGGCGAAAGCCUGAUCCAGCCAUGCCGGGUGUGUGAAGAAGGUCUUCGGAUUGUAAAGCACUUUAAGUUGGGAGGAAGGGCAUUAACCUAAUACGUUAGUGUUUUGACGUUACCGACAGAAUAAGCACCGGCUAACUCUGUGCCAGCAGCCGCGGUAAUACAGAGGGUGCAAGCGUUAAUCGGAAUUACUGGGCGUAAAGCGCGCGUAGGUGGUUCGUUAAGUUGGAUGUGAAAGCCCCGGGCUCAACCUGGGAACUGCAUUCAAAACUGACGAGCUAGAGUAUGGUAGAGGGUGGUGGAAUUUCCUGUGUAGCGGUGAAAUGCGUAGAUAUAGGAAG
rnacentral:rRNA from 1 species